rnacentral:lncRNA from 1 species
GAUCCAGCCAAGUGAGGAGGUGGAUGAAAGAGGUGGCCAGAUAGACGAAACUGCAGACCUGAUGGUUUGAGGCAUGAAACGAGCCUGCCUAACAGUGGAAAGAAACCAGUUUUGUGGCUAAAAUUCAGUGAAACAAUGGAGACUGGAAUGAAAGGGAUGAAGGUAAAAGUUGGAGGAGACCACUGAAAGGUUUGAAGCAUGGGAAUAACCCAGUAAUGUUGUGCUUUUAAAAGACUACUUAAGUCUUUGCUCAGAUAAAGACUAGACUUGGACAAGAUUAGAAGUGAGAAAAACGUUAAGGAAGCCAGGAGAUAGUUAUGAGUUGAACUUCUCACAAUAAAGAGCAAACAGACUAUACUGAGAUGAUUCGGUGAAUUCAGAAGUCUGGAGGUGGACAAGGCUGAGGACACUGAGGCAUUCCUGGCCUUUUCUUCAAGGUUGCAAUGUGCCUGCUACAGCCACCACGUCUGUAAGAAAAGUGCAAGAAAAGUGAAGAAAAACCAGAAAAAUAGAUGACACCUCACAAAAGAAAAAAGAAAUUCCAGAAAUUCACAGCUAACUUCCUUAUUUCUCAUGAUUAUAAUUACAAGUAUGAACACCUCAAACUGCAAAGAACACUGAGGAAUGUCAUUUUUCAAUGGAUAAAUUGCUACACUGAACAAAUUAAAAUUUUGUUAGUAAAGGAAGAAAAGGUGAAUAAAUCUUGUAUAGGGAUAUUUUACUAUAGGUCACAAACUUUAAUUUUGUCCUUUUCCUUUGAAAUUAAAUUUAUAGUCAAAUGGAUUAGCACCAAUAUACAAAAGUCA